UCGUCGCGCCCUGCAACCCCGCCGACUGGGCCGGCCUCCUCGGUCCCCGACUCGCCCAGGGCGUCGGGGCAGUCAUCACCAGGCCUGGCCUCGCCCGCCCCUGCCUCGCCCAGGGUGUCUGGGCCCUUCUCACCAGGGCCGGCCUCGCCUGCUCUCGCCUCGCCAAGGCCGUCUGGGCCGGUGUCACCGGAGCUGGCCUCGCCCACCCUCGGUUCUCCCAUGGCCUCUGAGCCCCUGUCGCCGGGCCAGUCUUCGCCAUGCAGCCCGGAGUCGUCUGUCCCGAGCUCACCUGAGGUGAUUCCUGCAUCUCCGGCGACCGUCACGUCUCCGUCACCUUCGCCUCCGCCGGCUCCUGCUGCUGCUCUACGUCCACAUACGCGCGGUCAGAGUGGCAUUUUUCAGCCUAAGCAACGUCACGAUGGCACAGUUGCUUGGUUAGCGGCGUGCAUGUCUGCUGCUCUCGCAGAUCCAUCCUCUGAGCCACGCACGUAUCAAGCUGCUAUGCGCAUUCCUCAUUGGAGAGAGGCCAUGGAGCAGGAGUAUCAAGCGCUUCUUCGCAAUCAGACAUGGACUCUUGUUCCUCCACAAUCACGGGUAAAUGUCAUUGAUUCCAAAUGGGUUUUCAAAGUGAAGAGGCAUUCUGAUGGGUCCAUUGAGCGCUAUAAGGCUCGUCUGGUUGCUCAUGGUUUUCGACAGCGUUUUGGACUUGACUAUGAAGACACCUUCAGUCCAGUGGUCAAGCCUACUACCAUCAGACUUCUUCUCUCUCUGGCUGUUACUCGAGGUUGGUUUCUUCGUCAGCUUGAUGUUCAAAAUGCUUUUCUUCAUGGUGUCUUGGCGGAGGAGGUUUACAUGCGCCAGCCUCCGGGUUUCUCUGAUCCGGAUCGCCCUGAUCAUCUCUGUCGUCUGUCCAAGGCAAUUUAUGGUCUGGAGCAGGCUCCUCGUGCUUGGCAUGCUCGUCUUGCAAUGGCUCUUCGUGCUCAUGGUUUUGCAUCAUCAACUGCUGACUCCUCAUUGUUUCUUCUUCAAAGGCCUGAGGUUACUAUGUACUUGUUGGUCUAUGUAGAUGAUAUCAUUUUGGUCAGCUCCUCUCAGUCGGCUGCUACUGCGCUUGUUCGCUCACUUGGUACUGAUUUUGCGGUCAAGGACCUUGGGAAGCUUCAUUACUUUCUUGGUGUGGAGGUUACUUCUCGUGCUGCUGGUCUUGUUAUGACGCAGAAGAAGUACUCUCUGGAUUUGUUGCAGCGAGCUGGGAUGCUUAAGUGCAAACUGACGACUACACCCAUGUCUACCACUGAUAAGCUCAAUGCUGUUGAUGGUGUGCUUCUUUCUUCUUCUGAUGCGAUCGAGUACCGGAGUAUUGUUGGUGGGCUCCAGUACUUGACGAUCACGCGACCAGACAUUUCCUAUGCUGUUAACCGAGUCUGCCAGUAUCUGCAGUCACCCCGUGACACUCAUUGGUCUGCUGUUAAGCGGAUUUUGCGCUAUAUUCGCUUCACGGUGGCUCAUGGUUUGCAUAUUCGGCCGUCUGACUCUGGUUGUCUUUCAGCAUAUUCUGAUGCAGACUGGGCUGGCAAUCCGGAUGACAGGCGAUCCACGGGGGGUUAUGCUGUCUUCUUUGGCUCUAACCUGAUUGCCUGGAGUGCUCGGAAACAGGCUACUAUCUCGCGUAGCAGUACUGAGGCUGAGUAUAAGGCUGUGGCCAAUGCCACAUCAGAGAUUAUCUGGGUACAAUCCUUGCUUCAGGAGUUAAGUAUACCCCAAUCACAGCCUCCUGUUCUUUGGUGUGAUAACAUCGGUGCUACAUACCUUUCUGCAAAUCCGGUAUUCCAUGCCCGAACGAAACACAUUGAAGUUGACUAUCACUUUGUGCGUGAACGUGUCUCUCAGAAGCAACUACAGAUCAAGUUUAUUUCUUCCAAGGAUCAACUUGCUGACAUCUUCACCAAGCCAUUGCCUUUG
rnacentral:rRNA from 1 species